rnacentral:rRNA from 1 species
AACGAACGCUGGCGGCAGGCUUAACACAUGCAAGUCGAGCGCCCCGCAAGGGGAGCGGCAGACGGGUGAGUAACGCGUGGGAACGUACCCUUUGCUAUGGAAUAGCUCCGGGAAACUGGAAUUAAUACCGUAUGUGCCCUACGGGGGAAAGAUUUAUCGGCAAAGGAUCGGCCCGCGUUGGAUUAGCUAGUUGGUGGGGUAAUGGCCUACCAAGGCGACGAUCCAUAGCUGGUCUGAGAGGAUGAUCAGCCACAUUGGGACUGAGACACGGCCCAAACUCCUACGGGAGGCAGCAGUGGGGAAUAUUGGACAAUGGGCGUAAGCCUGAUCCAGCCAUGCCGCGUGAGUGAUGAAGGCCUUAGGGUUGUAAAGCUCUUUCACCGGAGAAGAUAAUGACGGUAUCCGGAGAAGAAGCCCCGGCUAACUUCGUGCCAGCCGCCGCGGUAAUAC